UUUACCUAAGUUAGCUAGGUGGUUGUUGGGCUCCUGUCCAGAGAAUUACAGUGGUACAUUCCUCUUGCUAUUGUGCCUAUUUAAUUUUAUGUUGUAACUUGUAAACCAAUUGAUAUAUUAUAAGGUUUUGUUUGCUUAAGUGCAUUGACGAUGAAAUGCUCAGGCCUUAAGUUAUUAAAAAAUCUGCACUUGCAUUUUCUCAUUUAUAAAUUUAAGGGGAGAGGAAGGAAAAUAAUUAUUCCAUAAUUACUUCUAUAAUCAAGCAAAAGAAAUAGUGUGCCACAAGUGUUGCUCAUUUAUUUUCCUACCUGUUAUUUUGAUAUUGUGGUACAUUACAAUUUUCAUAUUCUCAUCUUUCAUUGGUUUGUAAAAGACACUGAAAAUGUUCUUUUUGUGUCCAAGGGCAUGUGUGAAGGCAAACCAAGGCUAACUAGUAAUAACAAAUUAUUAGAAAUCCUUGUAGAUACCUGUUGGAGGUGCCUUUUACAAUGAUCCUUAUUAGAGCUGCCUUAAACACUUCUAUGUUGUUUUUUUUAAAGUCAUAAAGAAAUUUAAAGUAUAACUACUUAUAAAGUUCCGGAGUUAUCUUUCUUUUAACAUUCUUGUUCAGGCAAGGGGAUUUUAUAUAAUACAAUAAUGUGUAUCAUGUAAUUUUUAAUCACAUAAUAUAUCUCGCCUAAUAAAAAAUGCUCCCUAAAAAUAUC
rnacentral:misc_RNA from 1 species